UCUACCGCUCAGGCUCGUCUGUGGGUGGGGCAGCUUCACGAAUCACCGGAACAGGCAAUAACCAGACAGGAAAUGGGCGGGAAGACGGCGGCCUGCCUGGGACACACCAUGCGCAUGUGCUCCAAUCCGGGCGCCAAUCUACUACACCCGGACCCACGGGAGGAUUGCCCCUAGACUCGUACUGAGCAUGCGCCUGCUCCGAACGGGUUGUACCGCCAGGCUGACAUUGAGAACUGCACUCUACUGUGGUCAAAGGCCUCCUUACUGCGCAUGCGCUAAUGGGAGGUCUCUCAGUCACGUGGUUCCUUUGGCGCGUCUCCUGGGUGACAGACGUUUUGGACGUCGAGCUCUCCCCGGCACCGGCUGAGAGGGACGGGCGCUGCGCGGUGUACUCAGCUAGCCGGACAGCGCCCCCGCGGGUUCAAAUGGAAAAAAAGGGAUGACCACUUCCUAAGAGAAAAAGAGGUGCUGGUGUCUGCUGAAAAAAAGUCUGAGAGAAAUGAUGGGGCACAGAAAGAAAGAACAGUGAGGACCCAAAUACACAGCCAGAGAAGAGGAAGGUAAAGAAGUAACAGACAUCUACCCUUUCAAACCAGACCUGGCUAACAUCAGUGCUGGCCAUACAAAUGGAACCAGUCGAGAAAAGAAAAAGGAGAGAAACCAGAAAAGGGUGGACUUGGAUGUGUCACCUGGCCAGAGAAUGAAGUCACUAAAAUGACAGCCUACCACCGAGUGGAGUUACAGUGAGAAAGGGGAAUGUCUGGGAGGAAGACAACUUGCCAUACCCCUGCCUGAUCACUAGGCAGCACUGAUGAUGCACCAGGGCUGAAAAGAGACAGCUAAUGAAUCUCAGCAGGGGAAGAAAAAUGAUAAGACUGAGAACCCUCUUCCUCUGCAUUUUGGAGAUGUGCCUUUUCAAAAAUGCUUCACAUCUUGUUUGUCUCAAGAAUUUAAAUCCAGUCUUGUAUUGA